CCAUUACCAGGAAUAACAGAUAAAAAAAAAAUCCCACCUUCUAGUUUUUCAAUAUGUUUAGUAAUGCAAAGAAUAUUUUAAAAAAGAAUAGGUUGGUGGUCUCACAUUUCAAGGUAAGGCACACCUUGUCAGGAAGGGAAAGCUGAGAUGGGAAAUUCAUCUGCUCUUUGUAGAGCUUGCCAUUUUUCCAAAAGUAUCCUUCUCCACAAUUCUGGGAUGAUUAUCUUGCCUGGUUUCUGUGUCAAUUGUGUUUUUCCCCCAAGAAUGGAAGGUUUUAAGUGAGGAAUGACAGACCAAGGUCACCAUGGAUGUCCACAGAGUUUUCCUAAAGAACCUUUGUGUGCCCAUUAGUGGAGUGUCAGGAAAGAAACCAAUUCCACUCAUAAUACCAUUUUGAGCAUCUCUUACAUAUGUGAAGCAGGUUUUUGCCUGUAUCUAUAAAACUGUGGUCUUUACACUUACCUUGUGAGUUUAUUGUGUGGGUUAAUUAAGUAAAUGCAUUUAAGCUCCUAUAAGAGUGUUUAGAAUACAGAAAGACAUUCUGUACUUUAUAUAUAUUUAUUUGUUAGCUCAGUGUUUCUCCAAUUUUAGUGUUCAUAAGAAUCAUCUGGGAUCUCGUUAAAAUGUGGAUGAUAGCUCAGUAGGUCUGGGUUGGGGUCUGAGAUCCUGCAUUUCUAACAAGCACCCAGGUGAUGUCAGUGCAGCUGAUCCACAGACUGCACUUGGAGUAGCCAAGAUUAGGCAGUGAGUUAUCUCCUUGGUUAGAUACAACUGUGACUAGAGAGCAAUGAAGUUUUAGUCCUGAUGGAGGGUUAUCCUACUGCUGAUCCAGAAGCCUCUGAGAAGUGGCACAACACUAUUUCACAUGUAUUUCUUGCCAGUAAACUCUCUGGAAAUCUGAAGGAUUCUAUAAUGUAUCACAGAAGUAAUUAUAACAUGUAAUUCAUAACCUAAAGUCCAAUGAACUAUAAUCCCACCAGCCCAUUUACACUUCGAAGAGCGUUACGGCAUUUGGGAGAAAUGAGUGCUCCAGGGGAGUAGAAUUUCAUUUGGUGAAUUCAGAAACCAUUUUUGGAUUACACUACAGAGAAUCUUCGAGACGAAGUCUACUUGCUGUGUUGCUGGGAAACCUCUCAAGGAUUUCAUUUCAGGGAUUUUUUUUUAGCAAGAUCCAGGUGCUUGCCAUGACCGGUGACAGGUUGCUGUGGAACAUUAGUUGCGUGGUCAUUCAUCCUGUUUGCAAGGUUUACCUACCGACCGACCUUGCCUGGGCUGUUACUUCAGGUAUCAAGCCUUAACUCCUUCUGCACUUAAAAAUCCUUCUAUCUCAUUGGCUACCUUUGCUCUCAUUUCUAAUUGGAACUAAGGAGAGAGACAGAGCAUGAACGGGCGAGGGGCAGAGAGAGAGGGAGA